rnacentral:rRNA from 1 species
AGUGAACGCUGGCGGUAGGCCUAACACAUGCAAGUCGAACGGCAGCACAGGAGAGCUUGCUCUCUGGGUGGCGAGUGGCGGACGGGUGGGGAAUACAUCGGAAUCUACUCUGUCGUGGGGGAUAACGUAGGGAAACUUACGCUAAUACCGCAUACGACCUACGGGUGAAAGCAGGGGAUCUUCGGACCUUGCGCGAUUGAAUGAGCCGAUGUCGGAUUAGCUAGUUGGCGGGGGAAAGGCCCACCAAGGCGACGAUCCGUAGCUGGUCCGAGAGGAUGAACAGCCACACUGGAACUGAGACACGGUCCAGACUCCUACGGGAGGCAGCAGUGGGGAAUAUUGGACAAUGGGCGCAAGCCUGAUCCAGCCAUACCGCGUGGGUGAAGAAGGCCUUCGGGUUGUAAAGCCCUUUUGUUGGGAAAGAAAUCCAGCUGGCUAAUACCCGGUUGGGAUGACGGUACCCAAAGAAUAAGCACCGGCUAACUUCGUGUCAGCAGCCGCCGUAA